AUCAAAUAGACAAUCAUUUCUUUAGUUGGUGUUGAAUAGUGCAAGGGAGUAGUGCACGUGCUCGUGGGAAUAGUGCUUGGUAUAAAGUUGUUUUUUUCUCUGGUGUCUUUUUUUUGGGUGCUCGUGCGUACAUUUUUGUCGGUGUUUGGCGUUUUGUAGUUUUUUUCACAAUGGCUGAGGAAUAUAAUUUAAAAUCUUUCUUUACCAGCACUCCCUUAAAUAUACAUACAAUUUGUAAUGGAAAUACAUAUUUUAGAAAUAUGCGGUAUUAAUAAAUAAAUAAUAAAUAAACUUGUAAAAAUUA